CUAAUAUUUUUCGCCAAAGCGAUUUCAACGGUUUGAUCAAUUUCAACAGCUAUUUUACCGGACCAGUUGAAGUUAAAUCCAGCUCACAAUAGACCAGAUCAUAAGGAGGAAGUGCCCUGAAUGCACGAGGACGGGAACCGUAUUACAAAGAAACGUGUCUCAGUGACAGCUACGUUUUAGGGCUGACUGACACACUUUGUCUGCAGGACGCCUCCCAUUCUUCUGAUCUAGCAUGGAUUCUCCUCUCAGUUUCUCCGGCUCCGUAUGUAAAAGCCCAAUGAGCAAGGAAUCACAGUGCAGCACCGAACUGGAAGCAGACGGACUUCGCUCGGCAGUGAGGCAUCACCGUGUGUCACUGCGCCAGUUCAGGGCUGCCGAUCCACUGCAUUGGCAAGAAAGAAAGAGACGCCAAUUAAGAAAACAGCAAUCAUGAAACUGGGGUAGCCCUCUUCGCACACAGAAAACACAAAAGACAUAUUAAGAAAGCAAAAACUUAAAGAGUCAUAUUUAAAAGAACUGUGCGCCCCAGAUGGCACUAUUUAACCCUAAUAAAUGCUUUAUUUCAAACUUGUAGAGACUGAGGGGAGACUGCUUGACUGCUUACCAAUCUCUCAAUGGCUGGACAAACAUGAACCCUCUAUCCCGAGCGAGUGAGCCUUCCUGUGGAUGGAGGCCAUACUAUUAAUGUAGCCUAUAAGGCACCUUGACCUCACUUCCU